rnacentral:rRNA from 1 species
AGUGGAUGGGGAGCAACCUAGUUGUGCGUGUGUAAAGGUAGUGCCAAGAAAAGCGGUGAUCAUGAUGAAAAUCAAUUCCCGGUACCCGAAACCGACACAGGUGGGCAAGUAGAGAAUACUAAGGGGCGCGAGGUAACUCUCUCCAAGGAACUCGGCAAAAUGACCCCGUAACUUAGGGAGAAGGGGUGCCACCGAGAGGUGGUCGCAGUGAAGAGGCCCAGGCGACUGUUUAGCAAAAACAUAGGUCUCUGCAAACUCGAAAGAGGAGGUAUAGGGGCUGACGCCUGCCCAGUGCCGGAAGGUUAAAGAAGUUGGUCAGUCUUAGGAUGAAGCUAGCGACUGAAGCCCCGGUGAACGGCGGCCGUAACUAUAACGGUCCUAAGGUAGCGAAAUUCCUUGUCGGGUAAGUUUCGACCCGCACGAAAGGCGUAACGAUCUGGGCGCUGUCUCGGAGAGAGGCUCGGCGAAAUAGGAUUGUCUGUGAAGAUACGGACUACCUGCAUUUGGACAGAAAGACCCUAUGAAGCUUUACUAUAGCUUGGAAUUGUGUUCGGGCUUCCUGUGCGCAGGAUAGGUGGGAGGCGUAGAAGGUAUUCUUGUGGGGAUACUGGAGCCAACGGUGAGAUACCACUCUCAGGAGGCUAGAAUUCUAACUUAAUUAAGGACAGUUUCAGGUGGGUAGUUUGACUGGGGCGGUCGCCUCCAAAAAGGUAACGGAGGCGUACAAAGGUUCCCUCAGACUGGUUGGAAAUCAGUCGAAGAGUGCAAAGGCAGAAGGGAGCUUGACUGCGAGAAGUACAGUUCGAGCAGGGUGGAAACACGGUCUUAGUGAUCCGACGGUGCUGUGUGGAAGGGCCGUCGCUCAACGGAUAAAAGUUACUCUAGGAUAACAGGCUGAUCUCCCCCAAGAGUUCACAUCGACGGGGAGGUUUGGCACCUCGAUGUCGGCUCAUCGCAACCUGGGGCGGAAGUACGUCCCAAGGGUUGGGCUGUUCGCCCAUUAAAGCGGUACGUGAGCUGGGUUCAGAACGUCGUGAGACAGUUCGGUCCAUAUCCGAUGUAGGCGUGAGAAUAUUGAGAGGAGCCUUCCUUAGUACGAGAGGACCGGGAAGGACGCACCGCUGGUGUACCUGUUAUGAUGCCAAUUGUAAACGCAGGGUAGCCAAGUGCGGAGAGGAUAACCGCCGAAAGCAUCUAAGUGGGAAGCCCACCUCAAGAUGAGUAUUCUGGUGUAAGGUCACGGGAAGACGACCCGUAAAUAGGCACGAGGUGGAAGUGCAGAGAUGUAUGAAGCCGAAUUGUACUAAUAGACCGUCGGCUUGACC